GAAAGCCACUGUGCCCCAGCAGCCUCCUAAAGACCCUCUGCUGCAGCUGAUCUCCCUCCAGAAGGCCUCUGGCUCCUGGCUGCUGGAUCCAGCUCUGGCUGCUGCACUGGGGAAGACCAGAGAGGAGGUGGAAAAGUCAAAACCUGCACAGGUCAGUGAGGAAGUGUGGGCCACCAUCCUGGCUCUGAUCUGGCUUCAUGGUUUCAAGAUGGAUUCAAAGGAAGAGUGGGAGCUUCUGGCCAUGAAGGCUGCAUCUUGGCUCAAUGCUCAGAACAGUACACCAUGUGUGACCGAGUGUGUGGAGGCUGGUAAUGUACUAACUGGGGUUGCAACAUGCAAAGAAACGUCUUGGGGAUUUGAGGAUUUGACUGAAACAACGCUGACACAGAAGCAUACUUACCUGUACCUACCAUGUACCUGUGUGCAGUGGUGCUGCAUUAUUUUAUUAUUGUCUGUCAGCAUGAAUUUGUUGCCACAUACAGUAGCUGUGUAAGAAGCUGACAAACAUUAUCAAUGAGCUGUUUUAGUUUCAUCUCUGUACACAUCCCCCUGCUCAGAAUGAUGUAUGUGCAGUCUGACACUAUUGGUUCUAACCUUAAAGGGUUCGAAGUUUCAGAUGUUUCAGAUCAUCCCACAGAUACUUGAUCAGUUUGGGAUCUAGUGAAUUUGGAGACCAGGUCAACACCUUGUGGUGUUCUUCAUGUUUUUUUUUUUUUCUUUUCUUGUUGUUGUUCUUUUUGAGUUGUUCCUGAAACGUUUUGUCUGUGUCAGGCUGCUGCCAUCAAGAAGUGUCGGUGCUAUGCGUUUUUUGCUAAGUAAUGUCCACAUGAAUACCAGGUCCAAAAGCUUCCCAGCAGAACUUUGUCACAAGGUCUCAUCUCAUCUCAUCUCAUUUCUGCUACUGCUUAUCCUAUUGUCACAAGAUGAUCACUGCUAUUUCCUUCUCCUGUUGGUGGUCAUGGAUGAUGGAACAUGUAAGCUGCUGACGGGGGAUCUUUUAUUUGUGCAGCUAUGAAGCAGCUGUGUUUUUUCCAAUGUUGCAGAUUGUUACAGAUUAUAUCUAAAUACAGAGAAACUAAAUAUUUAGCUAAUAUACUAGUUGACGCUGCCGUUCAGCGGAAGUACCAAAAGUUGAGCAGUGGGACCGGCCACUGCGUCGCUGUUGAAGGUUAAGUUACUCUCUCAGUGCUGCCCAUCACUGACUGUAUGUUUCUGAACGUUGGAAGAAGUUCCGAACCACUACAGCAACGAUAAGUCUGUCCUCCAAAUAGCUUGGAGCUAAAACUAUGUAGCUAAAACUAGCAGCAGAUGUAGCCGAGUCUUUGCUGGAUUGGUUAGCGACCAACGUGCAAAACGCGUUUGUUUUGAUCCUGCAGCACCAUACUGUUUGCUGGACAUUUGCAAUUCACAUCAUCUUAAAGUUAAUACUACUGGACAGAAAUGUCAACUCAGAGCUUCACCACCACUGCACCGGAGUCGGUGACAUCCACUGUCAGCACACUUAAGAAACUCAACAAGCUGUGCUUUUAAUCUUUGACAUGUUUCUACUAGUAGCUAUAUAAACACCAAUAUUUAUCUAUAAACAGCGUUUUAUGGUUUUAAUGUAUGGCUAUGUAUUAGUACAUUUUAAUUCAUUUUCAGGUUCCUGUGAGGAAUGAAGUGCUACAAUUAAAUAAAUAAAUACACCACUAAAUAAUUACUUAAAUGUGUCAUUAAUUAAUUAAAAUUGGCCUUAAAUAUAUAAAAAUAUCAUUAAUGCAUUAAAAUUGGUAUUGAAUAUAUAAAUGUGUCAUUAAUUCAUUAAAAUGCCAAUUCAUUUAUGUAAAAAACAUAUAUCACUAUUUCACUAUUUAAUUAAUUAUUUCAUGGUCCUGUGUCGCAGCGCAUCAUGGAUUUAUUUUAUCUAUCAAACUCAUUGCUUUGGUCUGAAGUAGCAUGCUCGGAGACAGACAUGGAGGACCUCCAGGACCUCUGAGGGAGUUGGUUAGAGAUAUUUUACACUACCCAGAGCAUGUAACGAAUAAAGUUGUGGAAUGUCUUGAAGCUUUUGGACUUAUUUCUGCACUUUUCAACCAAGAUACUGACGACAGAGUGACAGCAAAUUUAGAAGAAAUACUCGAUCGCUUCUGUGGUACCAGGGGCAGGGUGCAACAGGCACAGUAAACCUGACCCUUAACGUAACCCUAAACCAAAUAAUAACCCUCUAGAAUAACUAAUGCUCCCCCCAACAUUAAAUAUGUUUUUUUUUUUUUACAUGAAAUGAAUAGGUAUUUAAUUAAUUAAUUAAUGACACAUUCAAUAAAACAUUUAUGUAUUUAAUUCCAUUUUUAAUUAAUUAUUUAAUGGCUUAUUCAUUUAUUUAAUUGUGGCACUUUUAUUCCUCCAUACCUGAAAUGAACAUGAAAAAAAUUAUGUAUUUAAUUAUUAUUUUUUAUCUUUCAGGCACACCUGACCAGUUAAAUGACCAAUUAAAUGCAGUGUUAAGGAUUCAUGAAGUAACUUUUGUCCUGUUUAUAUCUUUAACACCGGAAUAUAAUUGUGUGAUUGUUUACUGACAUCUUACUCAUUCCUGUACACAUUUUUUGUGUUUUGGAGCUAAAUGUGGGAAAAGUUGCAUGCUCAUUUUAACAUGCGCAACUUUGCAAACGGCACCCCAUAUGUGGUGGGGGUUAUGGUGGUCUUCAUCCCCGUGUAGCUGUUGCUGGUCAGGGCCAGGCUGGGCCUCUCCAAGGUUAUCCUGAGUGGGUGAAGGGCUGUGGAAUACGGUCAGAUUUCCUUCACCUCUCUGCAGUUGGAGGAGAGCCAGGCCAGAGCGACCAGCAUCUGACACAACCAGAGACACGCUCCAGACUGACUCUUUGCAAACAGGAGAACAGUUAGACUGAACUCGUGCCGCAGAGCAGGAUGGUGGGGAUGUGUCAGCAUCCUAUAGGAGAAAAUGUGUCAUGUGUAAUGUGUCAAGAAAAAUCUUCGAUCAAGUGUAGCAACUCAUAAUGUAAUAAUGACUCAUAAUGUAAUAAAAUCAUGAGCCUAUGACGUAA